CGUAACUANGCAACCUGCCCGUGGCAGGGGGAUAAGCGGGGGAAACCCCGUCUAAUACCGCGUAACGCGGCCUAGGGACACCCCAAGGCCGCCAAAGGGAGCAAUCCCGGCCACGGAUGGGCAUGCGGCGCAUUAGCUAGUCGGCGGGGUAACGGCCCACCGAGGCGACGAUGCGUAGGGGUUCUGAGAGGAAGGUCCCCCACAUUGGAACUGAGACACGGUCCAAACUCCUACGGAAGGCAGCAG
rnacentral:rRNA from 1 species